AUGGACGAAAGUCUGACGGAGCAACGCCGCGUGAGUGAAGAAGGUUUUCGGAUCGUAAAACUCUGUUUUCAGGGACGAAUGUGCAAUAUGUGAAUAAUGUGUUGUAAUGACGGUACCUGACAAGAAAGCCACGGCUAACUACGUGCCAGCAGCCGCGGUAAUACGUAGGUGGCAAGCGUUGUCCGGAAUUAUUGGGCGUAAAGCGCGCGCAGGUGGGAUAAUAAGUCUGAUGUUAAAGUUCGGGGCUCAACCCCGUGAAGCAUUGGAAACUAUUAUUCUUGAGUGCAGGAGAGGAAAGUGGAAUUCCUAGUGUAGCGGUGAAAUGCGUAGAUAUUAGGAGGAACACCAGUGGCGAAGGCGACUUUCUGGACUGUGUCUGACACUGAGGCGCGAAAGCCAGGGUAGUGAACGGGAUUAGAUACCCCGGUAAUCCUGGCCGCAAACGAUGGGUACUAGGUGUUGGGGGUAUCGACCCCUCCAGUGCCGGAGUUAACGCAAUAAGUACCCCGCCUGGGGAGUACG
rnacentral:rRNA from 1 species